AAAGAACAGUCAUGUCGUUAAACCUACGAAUGAAGAGGCACGGUUUUACGUUUUACCGUUUGGUAAUUAAUGCUAAUUACUCUCCAUCUAUUCUUCUUCUUUUUUCCAGCCUUAACUUUUGCUCUUCCUAUCUCCACUAUCCAUGACUGUAGUUACCAUGGCCAAAGUGAAGAGGAAAAAAACAUGAUGUUAUAGAAUUUCUAUAAAAUCCAGCCGCCAUCUCUUCUUUCGAUCGCCUCAAAACGCUCUCGGUCUGAAUACGGUAACUGGAAAAAGGUGAAGCUCGAUGAGAUUAUUAACUAUGUGUAAUUCCUCCAAAGUCGAGUUGAGGUAAUUUACUUGGGUGACUUCGUUUUAUAAUUUGCAAAAACUAACUUUGCAAAAUUACUGAUAGAGUUUUCGGAGAAUAUUUGUUUGAUCUGUUUUUGCCAAAGAAAAAUAAUGUUUUAAAUAUUUUCAACCUCUGUUAAACAUUAGCAAGAUAACUUAAUUCUUUUUAUGUAUUCUUUAAUACAAAUCCUCUCAGUGAUGUUAGCUAAUCUCAAUCUAAGAGCUUCAACAUGGAACGUCUUCUCUUCGAGGAUGCAAGUCAGUCAAACAUAUGCUAUGUUAAUGAUGAGUUUUUGUGUUUUCUUUUUGUAUAUAAUUGUUCAUGAAUUUUGUGACAAUUUCAGAUGAUUCAAUCCAUUGAAUUGUUGCAUCAUACCAACAGAAGUAGCUGCAGAGUGUGAAUUUUUAGAGUUAUGAAAUUGGUUUAGAGGAAAAUUUAGUUCCGCUAGAUUUGUUGAGAAUAACAAAAGUCGGGUUGUAGUAAAGAAAUCUUAGUCCAUACAUUAUUCCUAUAUCUACUUGAGACAGCCGCUUAGUAUCGCCAUAAUCUUAUAUAAGCUUUCUUUGACUUUC